GUCCGUCCAAGUGUGACUGACAGGGUCCUCCUGACCAGGUAUGGAACCGUGUGUUACAUCUUCUCUGCUGUUAUGUUCCACUCAAAACCAUGACCCGCGUUUAGCAGUAAAAAACAUGACCCACGUUUAGCAGUAAAACCAUGACCCGCGUUUAGCAGUAAAAAACAAAACCAUGACCCACGUUUAGCAGUAAAAACCAUGACCCACGUUUAGCAGUAAAACCAUGACCCGCGUUUAGCAGUAAAAAACAAAACCAUGACCCACGUUUAGCAGUAAAAACCAUGACCCACGUUUAGCAGUUAAACAACCAUGACCCACGUUUAGCAGUAAAAACCAUGACCCACGUUUAGCAGUAAACAACCAUGACCCGCGUUUAGCAGUAAAAACCAUGACCCACAUUUAGCAUAAAACAACCAUGACCCGUGUUUAGCAGUAAAAAACAAAAACAUGACCCUUGUUUAGCAGUAAAAAAACAUGCCCCACGUUUAGCAGUAAAACAACAUGCCCCGCGUUUAGCAGUAAAACAACAUGCCCCGCGUUUAGCAGUAAAAACAACAUGCCCCGCGUUUAGCAGUAAAAACAACAUGCCCCGCGUUUAGCAGUAAAAACAACAUGCCCCGCGUUUAGCAGUAAAAACAACAUGCCCCGCGUUUAGCAGUAAAAACAACAUGCCCCGCGUUUAGCAGUAAAACAACAUGCCCCGCGUUUAGCAGUAAAAACAACAUGCCCCGCGUUUAGCAGUGAAAACAAACAUGCCCCGUUUAGCAGUAAAAACAACAUGCCCCGCGUUUAGCAGUAAAAACAAACAUGCCCCGCGUUUAGCAGUAAAAACAAACAUGCCCCGCGUUUAGCAGUAAAAGUCGUAUUCCUUCAUGGGUUAUUUGAUUUAGUUGUCCUUUAUUUUGUUUCAGACAUAAAUACUGAACGUGAAUCCGGUGUGUUUAGAGACAAACUUUAGAAAGCACAGACCCUGCAGGACACACACACACACUCA
ensembl:lncRNA